rnacentral:rRNA from 1 species
UACGUAGGUGGCAAGCGUUGUUCGGAAUUAUUGGGCGUAAAGGGCGCGUAGGCGGUUUGUUAAGUCGGCUGUGAAAGCCCGGGGCUCAACCCCGGAGGGUCAGCCGAUACUGGCAGACUAGAGUACGGAAGAGGUAGCUGGAAUUCCCGGUGUAGCGGUGAAAUGCGUAGAUAUCUGGAGGAACACCGGUGGCGAAGGCGGCAUCCUGGACCAAUAUUGACGCUGAGGAGCGAAAGCUAGGGGAGCAAACGGG